CACUCUGUAACAGAGAGUCAGUUAUAAGGGUUGGUGGCCCACAUCCCUGCUAGCACAAGUAAAAGCAUCGUGUGUGCGUGUACACGCGCACAUCCAUGGCUGCUGAGCCGCUGUCACUCCGAUGUGUUUAGCUUUGGGGGUAGUGACAGCAGGGGCUGUUUUACUUACCUGAGUUUUUACAGUUAGGUUCCAGUCACAUGAGAAAACUGAGGUGGGCACAGAGGGGUAAACUGACUUGCAGAAUUGCCUGUGUUUCUUUUAGAGGUAGAAGAGCAAGUCUGUGCCAUUCAAUUUUAGUAUGUUUUGAAAUAAAUAGCUUCUGUGCCUUUUUUGUGCUGGAUUUUGAAUGUAGGCCUGGAAUACUUUUUUUGGCCUUAGAUGCAUCUUGGCUAACCUAUGAGCCUAACACUGGAAAAUGCAAUCGUGGCAGACUGAACGCAGUAAAACACAGGACUGCUUAGUGAUUGCUCUGGAGAGUGGAUGGAGGAGACAGAGAAUUUGUUACAAGUCUGCUGUGGCAUCAUCUUCUGGAUCUUGAACAGCUUAGAAGGACACAGUUAAUUUUUUUCAGCAUGGGUAGCCCAGCAAAGAGCUGCCAAAUUAGACCUGCUUCUUAACUGCUGCUCAAGAUCAAAAAUAGGAGGAGGCACCAUUAACAACAAGGAACAGAACAAACUGCUACUAGGAAAAAAAAAGUCUGUAAUAGGAGUGGCUUUGUGCUGUAGUUUUAUUGCUCUCCAACUCUUGUACAUUUUUAAAAUAAUCUCUGCUAUAAACUGGUAAAAUAAAGUAAAUCAAAGAAAAUGC